rnacentral:rRNA from 1 species
GAUGAAUGCUAGCGGCAGGCCUAAUACAUGCAAGUCGAACGGUCCACUUCGGUGGAUAGUGGCGCACGGGUGCGUAACACGUAUGCAACCUACCUUACAUUGGGGGAUAGCCUUUCGCAAGGGAGAUUAAUACCGCAUAAGACAGUAACAUGGCAUCAUGUAGCUGUUAAAGCUUUAUCGAUGUAAGCUGGGCAUGCGUGCAAUUAGUUAGUUGGUGAGGUAAUGGCUCACCAAGACGAUGAUUGGUAGGGGAACUGAGAGGUCAAUCCCCCACACUGGCACUGAGAUACGGGCCAGACUCCUACGGGAGGCAGCAGUAGGGAAUAUUGGGCAAUGGACGCAAGUCUGACCCAGCCAUGCCGCGUGCAGGAAGAAGGCGUUCUGCGUUGUAAACUGCUUUUAUAUAGGAAGAAACGACCCUUGCGAGGGGCAUUGACGGUAUUAUAUGAAUAAGCACCGGCUAACUCCGUGCCAGCAGCCGCGGUAAGAC